rnacentral:rRNA from 1 species
GAUGAACGCUGGCGGCGUGCCUAAUACAUGCAAGUCGAGCGAAUGGAUUAAGAGCUUGCUCUUAUGAAGUUAGCGGCGGACGGGUGAGUAACACGUGGGUAACCUGCCCAUAAGACUGGGAUAACUCCGGGAAACCGGGGCUAAUACCGGAUAACAUUUUGAACCGCAUGGUUCGAAAUUGAAAGGCGGCUUCGGCUGUCACUUAUUGAUGGACCCGCGUCGCAUUAGCUAGUUGGUGAGGUAACGGCUCACCAAGGCAACGAUGCGUAGCCGACCUGAGAGGGUGAGCGGCCACCCUGGGACUGAGACACGGCCCAGACUCCUACGGGAGGUAGCAGUAGGGAAUCUUCCGCAAUGGACGAAAGUCUGACGGAGCAACGCCGCGUGAGUGAUGAAGGCUUUCGGGUCGUAAAACUCUGUUGUUAGGGAAGAACAAGUGCUAGUUGAAUAAGCUGGCACCUUGACGGUACCUAACCAGAAAGCCACGGCUAACUACGUGCCAGCCGCCGCAGUAA